AAGAAUUUAAGUUAAAAUAAACUAUUAACCUUCAAAGUUAAAAUUAGAAUAAUUUCUAAUUCUUA
rnacentral:tRNA from 1 species